UUUUUGAGUCAAUAAAAAUGGUAUUACACCUUAUUUUAUUGCAUUUCAUUGCAGAAUUUUCAUCGGAAAGUGAAAAAUUGCAACGCGUCGUCGGCGGCUCUUGAAAACGUUAAGAGACACCAAUGAUUUAGCAAAACGCUUAAAAGCAGCAGCGGCAACAUCAUCGACAAGUGCGCAUACAACAAUUACAACAACUUCAGUAUCAGCCCCAAACACUAAAAAUAAUAAACAGAGUUUAAUGACGUCCGUAGUUGAAGUUCCUUAGCCUAAUUGGCAAUUUUUAGUCAUCACGGGUUGACACAGUAAAUCAACAGGCCAAAAUCAGCCUCCAGUUGACCACAAGAUACAAAUAAGGCCAAUUGUCAAUGAUUCAGGCCUUUAAAUAGGAAGCCCCGCAGUCAUUCCACACAACAAAGGCCAACUCACAAUCAUCACCCACGGCAACAGCAGCAACAUCAGCAAUAGCAACAAGAAGUCAAUGCCAAAGCAUUAGCGUAUGCACUUAUGCAGCCAAUGCAACUACCAGACAAUAAGCAAUACCCCAAGUUCCGCAAACACUGUGUGUCUCAGUUUUAUUUUUACCGAUCUCAAAUUCACCAAAAGAUCACCAAUCGCAGACUCUGUUGAAAAAAUUUAUUUGUUUUGAUUUACAAAAAUCUUUCCUAAAUUCUAGAAAUUAGAGAAUUUUAUUUUUUUUUUUAGAAAAAUUAUUUUAUUAAAACGCAUCUUACAAUAAAAAUAACGUAUGAAUGCAACCAAAA